UCCCCGAUAGCUCAAUGGUAGAGCAUCUGACUGUUAAUCAGAGGGUUGCUGGUUCGAGUCCAGCUCGGGGAGCCA
rnacentral:tRNA from 1 species